GUUUAUUUUUUCCAUAAGUUAGAAAAUAUAAAGAAUGUCUCACUUGAUCAAUUGCUGGGUUGUUCAGAAGUCCUGCCUUUUUAGCAGUUCUUGCUCAUUUAGAUUUCUUUUACUUAAGCAAUGUAAAGAAAUAUAAAUGAGGUCAUUUCAGGGAACAACACACCACUAAAAAUUAUGAGGUGACUUUUCUUUCUUACUCUUUUCUUCUUUUGGGACUUGUUAAGUUGUCAUCAUUAUUCUCGUCAAUGAUUCUCUUUUUGGAUUUUAAGUUGCCAUUCUUUGAUGCUUGUUGCUGCUUCUGAGAACUUUCAGGUUUACUGGGGGGUUUAGUGGAUUUAAUUGGAGUUCCCAUUCGUUGCAUCUUUUGCUUUCUCUGUUUCUUCUCAUAUGCCUUUUUGGCUCUCUCAGGGGAUAGCAAGCCAUGUUCCAUCAUCCAAAAUUCUGCCAUCUCACUAGUUGGUAUCUGUUUGGACAAUGACUCGUAGAAUAUCCUAAGGGGUUCUCGCUCUUCUGGAGGAUCAUAUUUCUGGCCAGGCAAGGAGUAUACCUUCUUCUCUCUCACUCUAGUUUUUGUGGUGGUGAUCUUUGAUGAACUGGAUGUUGUUUUUGAUUUUACCUCUGUUUUAGUGACAAUUGAUACAGAUUUAUGUUUAAGAUCAGCAGUAGGCUGUUUACUAGAGCUCUCAAUUUUCUUAUUCUUCAUAGAAGAAUCAAAAUUUUCCUUUGAAGAACCGUCUUGAUGACUGCUGGGCUUGACCUUGGCCACACCCCGCUUGGUCUCCGUGGCCAUGUCCCUCUGCUCCCCAAAUCUCCUUAUCAAUCAAUCAAUCAAAUUCUUUUGUUAUUGAUCUCAUCAAUCAGUCCUUUUAUUUUCUUCUUCC
rnacentral:misc_RNA from 1 species